GACAGAGGUGCCGAGCGUUAGGCGGAAUCACUGGGCUUAAAGCGCGUGUAGGUGGCGGCCUAAGUACCUUGUGAAAUCCUGCGGCUCAACCGCAGAACUGCUUGGUAUACUGGGUCGCUUGAGACAUUCAGGGGCAACUGGAACAAGCGGUGGAGCGGUGAAAUGCGUAGAUAUCGCUUGGAACGCCAAAGGUGAAAACAGGUUGCUGGGGAUGUUCUGACACUGAGACGCGAAAGCCAGGGGAGCGAACGGG
rnacentral:rRNA from 1 species